rnacentral:rRNA from 1 species
AAACUUUCAACAAUGGAUCUCUUGGUUCUGGCAUCGAUGAAGAACGCAGCGAAAUGCGAUAAGUAAUGUGAAUUGCAGAAUUCAGUGAAUCAUCGAAUCUUUGAACGCACAUUGCGCCCGCCAGUAUUCUGGCGGGCAUGCCUGUUCGAGCGUCAUUU